rnacentral:lncRNA from 1 species
AUGGGUGUUUGUUUCCGUGAGGUGCAGAGCCGUGGGUGUCCCCAAGUAGGAACAGCUUGUCUCAGGAAUUCUAUUACCUUCCCUGCCCCCAUCCCCAUUCCAUCCCCCCAACCCUCCCCACAUUCCCCACAAAGUGCCCCUCCCCAAACCUUGCUAGGUUCCACCAGCCGCCAUAGUCCCGUCCCGCCCCCGUCCCUCCCCCGUCGUCCAAAGAGGGAGGGGGUGGGGUCGGAGGCAGGGAGGGAAGGCUGGCCAGGGCUGGGAGUCUCUUCCUGGGCGACUGCCUCCCAUGCUGACAGCAAGGUGGACUCAACAGGGCCCAAUAAGCCAGCCUGGGUGUCCCACUCCUUCCUCCAGGCUCAAAUGUGUCUUUUUUUUUUUUCCACCUGGGAAGCAGCUCAAUUUUGUUGCUCUGUGUGUGUGUGUGUGUGGUGUGUGGUGUGUAUUUUGUUUACUUGUUUUUUUAAUUGUUAGCUUUGUAUAGUCAAGUCCAGAGAAACUGAAGAGGAAGAAUGAGGUAAGGGGGUGGGGAAAAA